UUUAUCUGGAAGCCAUCUUUAAAGAGGGACGCCGCUCAGUUUGAGGGCCGGGGGAGACUUUCAUGUACGUGCUGUUGGUGCUGCUCGCGUUGUGCUGAUUCGUCAUUGAAGUCAUUAUUACUCGGUUACGGCAGGCGCAGCUGCUUAGUGUCAGUUUUUGCAGCGUUAGCCGUGGUUGCUAUUUACAUUCACAUCAUAGAAUAGUUUCUAUGGUUACACAAAUUUGCCCAAACACUGGUCAAGGGUUGUUUUUUUUUUUGUUUUUUUUUUUUUGCAAUGAUUCAGUUCUGCAGUUUGUAAAUAGUAAGAGCUGUUUCUUCUCUGCUAUGUUUUGGCCGCUGAUGCUUGCAGGAUCACCAUGUGUGAGAUUAUGGACAUUGUGAUAAUCCUGAUUCAUCCCAUCACAUUCAUCCCUGGAGUUGUUGAGCAGCUCAUUUCCGGGCUUCUUCCAUGGCUGGAAGAUCUCAUGAGCAAGAAGAAGAAGAAAUGGUUCAGAAAACUCUUCUACGGCCCAGAUCAACGCUCAGGAACAGACUUUGCUGCGACGGGUUUUCUCGCAGACGUUCUCACUGACUUACUGUCUUGUGGCUGCUCUCGACUUUUUCCCCCCUUGGAAUAAAAUAUGCAAAUAACACUUUGAAGACAGAAGCGACACCGUUGACGUCGAACAUCUGACUUCAGAGUUCAACAUCUGCUCUGCAGGUCGGCUCACGUUUUCAGGUGCUUGGUGAGGCUGGCUGUGGUGCCGGUCCACACACCUGCAGCACGUUGAGUGUAAUCAGCACCUGCUCUUAAACCCAGAUCUUCCCUCUGCUCCUGUGGUGCUCUCAGGAUCUCUCAAGUUUACGUAUUUACAAAGUCUUCUUGUGCCACCACUCCUCACAACCCUCAGCUGCCUGAGCCAUCCUCCUGUACACACCUGGAGUCUCCACCUGCACCACCCAGCGAGCCCUCAGCCUGCGCUCUGGCUCUCCGUCUCAUCCUACAAGCAAAAUCAUUCUUGUGAUCUAUAAAUUCACCAGCUCACCACCUGUUCCGUACGGCAACCGUCACAGAAGGGAUGCCAUUUAAACCUUUCAGUAACACAUCUUAAUCCACGUUAUUUUGUUGCUGCGGGUACAAUACAAACCCUCACCUUUUAAUUAUGGCAGCACAUUCAUGCAGGAUUUUACUUUAAUGAACACAGAGCAUGCUCAAUAAACAGACUUGGAUAGGAAAUAUAAAAGCUCUUCACCGCUUUCCCGAUCACCAAACGCUCGGAUGCGAGACCUGUUAUUUAGAUUUCCUUUUCUUGUUACCGAGGAGAGUUUUUUAGAAAGCACUCAAGUGGAUUUUCCAAAACAUUUUCCACACCAAAUAAGCGCUAAUCCCUCCUUUUCAAAUGCUUGAAAACUUCGUUUUAAAUAGAAAAAGCUGGCUGAUUCAGACCUCGUAAUAAACCUUGGCCUGACUUUGAGAAGGUGGUGGAGGUGGUGGGGGGACAUAAGUAC